AGCCUACCCUCCAUUGGCACUAGACUAAUGAACGUCGUGGGAUUAAGUAUAUAAAAUGUAGAUAUGAAGUGCACAUGUAAGGCUUCAAUGAGCAACACACUCCUUUAGGAAGAGCUUGUAUAAACAAUGCCUUCACAGGCUUAUGGAACCAGAUGAUGCCCAAAAAGAAGCAAAAGACUUGACCUUUAGUUUAAAGGAAAAAUAAGAAUAUACUAUGAAGACAAGCAGACGUUCCUACAGGAUUGUGAAGAUGAUGGAGAGACAGCAGCAGGGGAGGAUCACAUUGCAGCGGGCUUCAGGCAAACAUCUUUGGCCAAGUGAAAACACUUUCCUCUCUUCUCAUUUUUGAUGUGAGCUUGCCAAAAAAACAGUAAUGACAUGCAAUUUCUAAAGCUAGUAUUUUAUUUAAACAACAAAAACAAACUACAGCAAAAAUUACUCACUAAAUAGGGGAAACCCCAGAAGAACUGAGUGACACAGAUUGAAGAUGUUUGGAAACAAAUCAACCUCCUAACCAUUAUGUCCUUGAAGUGUAUAUAUACCUUUUUUCCAUAAUCAGUAAUUUUCAGUUCAAGUAAAGCUCCAGUUUUUUUCAUUACAGAUCAUCCUUUUGACUUUUCAGGAAAGUCUCUUAUCUGGAACUCCCGGGGGCAGAUUUCAGACUGCUUCCCUUUUUAGACAGGACACUUUUUUGAGUAUCCCAUUUUCUCUCUGCCAGUACCAACACUCCAGAAAGUUUUCCAGAACCCAUCAAGCUCAUUUGGGCUACUGUGGAACUAAUCUUUUUCUUCAUCCUGCUUUUCACAUGAAAAUGCUUCAGGAAGUGCAUUGACUCAGACAAGCUCUGGCAAAUUCCCCAGCCAAUGCAACCUGGCCUAUCUCCAUGAAAGUCAAUGGACACCAGCUGAGAAUUUGGCUCUCUCUGCAGCUUUGACUUCAUGUGCAAAUUCAUCUACCCAGUGGAGAUAAUGAAUUCAGGCACUGAUUUCAGUGGAAUUUUUUUCUGGAUUCUUUAUCAACAAGGAUUUGUUUGACCAUUCUUUGACCCAAGACAAUGCUUGACUGGUCUUUAUGCAUGCAGUUAUAUGGCACACCGUGCAUGGCAUAUUCGAACAACUAUUCCACACAAAAACAUGAAUUACAGACACAUAAAAUUUUUGUGAACUGGGCUGUAAAAUUUCUGAUGCAGUAGUCUCUAUCUAACUUGACAGCUGGUAUCUGAUCCGAAAAUAGUGUCUUUUUCCUCAAAAGCUAGUCAUCCUGUUACUUUGCACUGCAUAGAUAUGAACACAUAUAUGGAUAAGAAAUAAUCUGGAAAAAAAUCUUCUAGAACAACCGUAAUUAUGUGCCACUUUGCCUCAGCACACUGAGUCUAUGAUGGUCUCCUGGAAAAUGUUUCCAGUGCUGUGUGUGCUUAGCAAACCUGUAGAUCAGAAACAGAUAUCCUAAGCCAAACCUUGCAACAUUUAUUCUUUCAAAGGAAAGUCUUCUGUGAAUUAUAUUCCUAAAUAAAAGCCUGAGAAUUGAACCUCAACUUUGCAUGUGGAGGAACAAUGGAUAUAGUAGAUGCUGUGCAGCACUCCAGAGAGGAUGAGCUGGAGUAAAAAAUCUGAGGAAAAAAUGCUCUUGACAGACAAUGUCAGAGCUGGGAGCAGUGGUGUGCAAUGUCUGCUUUCUCUGCCUAGAUAACAGACCUGAUGUGGUUUUCAUUUGCAUUCCUGUGCCAACCCAAGCUUUUGCUGACAUGUUUUGGGUCUGUGCCUGGGUACAGAGGCUCAAUUUUCAUAGAAUCAUAAAAUAUGUUGUGUUGGAAGACACCCAUCAGGAUCAUCGAGUCCAACUCCUGGCCCUGCAGAGGACAGCCCGAGAGUCACACCAGGUGCCUGAGCACAUUGCCCAAAAUAUUCCUGAACUGUCAGGUUUGGUGCUGUGACCACUUCCCUGAGAAGUCUGUUCCAGUGCCCAAACACCCUCUGAGUGAAGAGUCUUUUCCUGAUAUCCAACCUAAAUCUCUCCUGACUCAGCUUUAUGCCAUUUUCUCCAGUUCUGUCACUUGGUCACAAGAGUGAAGACAUCAGGACCUUCCUCUCUACUUCCCCUCAUGAGGAUGUUGAAUACCACAACCCCUUCGUCUCCUCAUCUCCAUGCUGAACAAAUCUCAGCCAAUCUUCAUAAGAUUUGCCUUUCAGAUGCUUCACCAUUCUCAUGGCCCUCCUUUGGACACUCUCUAAUAGGUUCAUGUCUUUUUAAUAUUGUGGUGCCUAAAAAUGCUCACAGAACUCAAGAUGAGUGCACAGCAGAGAGGGACACUCCCCUCCCUUGCCUGGCAGGUGAUGCUGUGCCUGACUCCCCCCAGGGCACACUUGGCCCUCCUGAUUGCUGGGGCACUGCUGACUCAUAUUUAACCUGCCAUCAGCCAAGAUGCUGUUUGUUUUACUGUAGCAGUCACAGCACCUGUCAAUUACAGCAGAUCUAGAAGGAGAAAUGCAAGGUAGUUUGUAACAUCUUCCUGGAGAGAUGUCUUCCCUGAGCAGUGUUUUCCUGUAGGAGAUCGCAGCUACUCCAUCUUUUUGAAUUCCAGUGGUAGGAUGGAGAGCCGAUGACAGGCUGAAUCAGCGCGGUGCUGACCAGCAGUUUGUACAGCCUGGGAGCUUGUCAGAGAGGCCACUGGUCAGUGUAGGAUGCUGGCUGUGGUUGCACUGAAAUGACAAUAGGUGAUUUUCCUAGAUAUCUCUCUUACAGUUGGCUGCAGUGACAUGGAGACCAGCCUCAAAGGGAAUUUGAUUUGGAUCAUCAUAAUUAGUAAUGCUGUUGUGCUGUCAGGGUACCCCGCAUGUAAAUCAUGGAAAGCAAACCGAUUAUUACAUUUUUCAAUUUCUUUCCAGCAGUUUUUCUUCAUAAUUACACAAAAGAUGACUGCUGAAUACAAGGGAAUGGGCAACAUUAUUUCUGGUGUGUUUUGGAUUACAAAAUGUCUGUUUGAAUUAUGCUGAAGGAAUGUAUGUGUUUGUUGUUGUAAAGAGUUGAUUAAAUAAUGUUCUUGGGGAUAAGAAGAGUAUGGGAUUUUAUAGAUCAAGAAAACAGUUAUAAGAAAAUCAUCUACAGUAAAGGGUGGGAGAGGAGCAGAAGAAUAAAAAUAGCUUUCUGGAUCAUAAAUAUUCUCCAUUAUCACCUAUGCAGUAUACCCCACAUCCUUCUUUUUUCCUUCUCUCUGUUUCCUAGAAAAAUAACUUAUUUCAGUCUUUUUUUUUUUUUUUAAUUUUUUCAAUUUAAGGAUUGAAGGAUUAGGGCCAUGCAGCCCUAUAUUUGCUCAUUCCCUUGCUUUCCUACCAGCAUGCCUCCCUGUGAGGCAAAUCCCCCCUAACAAACCCUUCUGUGAAGCUUUGUCAGUGACUGCCAGCCUAGGAAAAAGACGAUGAAAAUCUCCAUCCCAAUAAUACGUGCAAACAAGCAAACAAAGCCACUCAAAGCUGUUUUGAGUUUGAACUUUUGGAGCUACUGUAUGCAAAAUUUUUUGUUUAGUGUAUUUGGAAAUGAAUGUCCCAGUUCUUCAGGGUAAAAACCAUAUUUUCUUUGUGCUAUUUCUAAAGUAAGAUGUAUAAAAUAUAUUCCCAUUUUGCAGAAGUUGGAAAAUAAUGUGAUAACUACCUGUAUCCAUCUACAUCUAUCUCUCUGCCUGAAAGCCCAAUAAAUGUAACUGUUAUCAUACCUA